rnacentral:tmRNA from 1 species
GCCGGUCUUCGGGCCGGCUAUGGCGAUAAACGAGCGAUGUAAUAAACCUAUUGGACCCGGGGGCGGUACCCGGCGCCUCCACCA